rnacentral:lncRNA from 1 species
AACUCUUGCCCACGAGGCCAUUUGACUUCAUCGCAACAUGUCAGAGGUCUUGGAUUGGCAGGAGAUGACCAACGGGUACUAGACUCAGCAGCUAGAUCCGCCAGCAGGCGAUUGCAGCCAUUAAUACUCUCCUUGGGUGAAUGUAUCAAACAUUGAAUUGUCCUUUGAAUGCUUUUGUACGAACAUUUAAUGCUCUUUUGCCGUUGCUGUGCGAAUACGAACUUGAAC